ACCAGGUCCUCCUUAUCUAAAAUGGUUAAAUAAGGGGUGAGUUACACUAACCCAGUAAGGACAUCACAAUAUAUCCCCGUCACAGAAGUACAGGUUCGUAGAAAAUAAAAAACAACCAAUGGAGUACAAAUUUUAAACCAAUACGUUCAUUAAAAUUAAAAUCAUUUUCCCUUUUUCUUACAUUUGGAGAACCUGUGAAAACAACCUAUAAAGACAAUAACAUCAUACAGAUCAUAACUUCAUGCACAAUCAGUAACAUAGAACAUAUCAUAAAUUCAUAUUCAUUACCCAUAACUAAUCAUCAUCGUUUCUCAUUUCACCAGCCUACUAGUAUCCAUGGGGAUUCAUAGGGGUGUCCCCGCUACACGUGAACCCUUUCCAUUAACAAUCUUAAUUCCAAGACCGUCCCCAUACCCCGUCCGAUAUGAGCGCCAAGACUAAUAACCUCAAUACCCCGUCCGGUAUGAGGCUGAAGCGGGUCGUCCCCAUAUAUCGUCUGGUAUGAGCGCUAAAUGACCAAGUCUCCAUACCUCGUCCAGUAUGAGAUAACGUUCACGGUAGGGUUCCCUACGAACCCAGCCCGUCCACCAUCUCCUAGGAUAUCUAGUGAGACUGUCAUCUUAUCCAUUUAUCAGAUCACAUCCCAUUCCUAUUUGUCCUUAGUCUCCGUCACCAAAUCAAACAUAAAUACAUAAACAAGUAACGUGCAUCCAAUAAUG
rnacentral:lncRNA from 1 species